rnacentral:rRNA from 1 species
CGGAGGGUGCAAGCGUUAUCCGGAUUUAUUGGGUUUAAAGGGUCCGUAGGCGGAUCCGUAAGUCUGUCGUGAAAGCCCCGGGCUCAACCUGGGAAUGGCGAUGGAUACUGGCUCGCUAGAGUGCGGUAGAGGAGAGUGGAAUUCCCGGUGUAGCAGUGAAAUGCGUAGAGAUCGGGAGGAACAUCAGUUGCGAAGGCGGCUCUCUGGACCAGCACUGACACUGAGGCACGAAAGCGUGGGGAGCAAACAGGAUUAGAUACCCUGGUAGUCCACGCCCUAAACGAUGCGAACUGGACGUUGGGAGCAAUCAGGCUCUCAGUGUCGAAGCUAACGCGUUAAGUUCGCCGCCUGGGGAGUACGGUCGCAAGACUG